rnacentral:rRNA from 1 species
AGAGUUUGAUCCUGGCUCAGAACGAACGCUAGCGGCGUGGAUUAGGCAUGCAAGUCGAGCGAGAACCGUUGUGCUGGCAACAGUACGCGGGGACAGCGGCGAAAGGGUGAGUAAUGCAUGGUCAACCUGCCCUCCUGUCGGGGAUAACUCCGGGAAACUGGAGCUAAUACCGGAUAGUUUCGUGGUAUCGCAUGGUAUCGCGAAUAAAGAUAGCCUCUCAUUGAAGCUUUCGCAGGAGGAGGGGACCAUGUCCUAUUAGCUAGUUGGUGAGGUAAAGGCUCACCAAGGCGGUGAUGGGUAGCCGACCUUAGCGGGUGACCGGCCACACUGGGACUGAGACACUGCCCAGACUCCUACGGGAGGCUGCAGUCGAGAAUUUUCCGCAAUGGGCGCAAGCCUGACGGAGCGACGCCGCGUGUGGGAUUGAAGGCCCUCGGGCUGUAAACCACUGUCACAGGUUAAGAAUUGUCAGGAGGUUAAGAGCUUCUUGGCUUGACAAAGGCCUGGGAGGAAGCCACGGCUAACUUCGUGCCAGCAGCCGCGGUAAGACGAAGGUGGCGAGCGUUGUUCGGAAUCACUGGGCAUAAAGCGCGCGUAGGCGGUCAGCUAAGUCGGAUGUGAAAGCCCUCGGCCCAACCGAGGAACGGCGUCCGAAACUGGUCGACUUGAGGGUUGGAGGGGUGCAUGGAAUUCCUGGUGGAGCGGUGAAAUGCGUUGAUAUCA